CCUUAGAGUUUGAUCCUGGCUCAGGACGAACGCUGGCGGCGCGCCUAACACAUGCAAGUCGAACGAGAGAUGAGGAGCUUGCUCUUCAAAUCGAGUGGCGAACGGGUGAGUAACGCGUGAGGAACCUGCCUCGAAGAGGGGGACAACAGUUGGAAACGACUGCUAAUACCGCAUAAGCCCACGGCUCGGCAUCGAGCAGAGGGAAAAGGAGCAAUCCGCUUUGAGAUGGCCUCGCGUCCGAUUAGCUAGUUGGUGAGGUAACGGCCCACCAAGGCGACGGUCGGUAGCCGGACUGAGAGGUUGAACGGCCACAUUGGGACUGAGACACGGCCCAGACUCCUACGGGAGGCAGCAGUGGGGAAUAUUGCACAAUGGGGGAAACCCUGAUGCAGCGACGCCGCGUGGAGGAAGAAGGCUUUCGGGUUGUAAACUUCUUUUAUGAGGGACGAAGGAAGUGACGGUACCUCAUGAAUAAGCUCCGGCUAACUACGUGCCAGCAGCCGCGGUAAUACGUAGGGAGCGAGCGUUAUCCGGAUUUACUGGGUGUAAAGGGCGUGUAGGCGGGGAAGCAAGUCAGAUGUGAAAACCAGUGGCUCAACCACUGGCCUGCAUUUGAAACUGUUUUUCUUGAGUGAUGGAGAGGCAGGCGGAAUUCCGUGUGUAGCGGUGAAAUGCGUAGAUAUACGGAGGAACACCAGUGGCGAAGGCGGCCUGCUGGACAUUAACUGACGCUGAGGCUCGAAAGUGUGGGUAGCAAACAGGAUUAGAUACCCUGGUAGUCCACACCGUAAACGAUGAUUACUAGGUGUUGGAGGAUUGACCCCUUCAGUGCCGCAGUUAACACAAUAAGUAAUCCACCUGGGGAGUACGACCGCAAGGUUGAAACUCAAAGGAAUUGACGGGGGCCCGCACAAGCAGUGGAGUAUGUGGUUUAAUUCGACGCAACGCGAAGAACCUUACCAAGUCUUGACAUCCCUUGACGAUGCUGGAAACAGUAUUUCUCUUCGGAGCAAGGAGACAGGUGGUGCAUGGUUGUCGUCAGCUCGUGUCGUGAGAUGUUGGGUUAAGUCCCGCAACGAGCGCAACCCUUAUGGUCAGUUACUACGCAAGAGGACUCUGGCCAGACUGCCGUUGACAAAACGGAGGAAGGUGGGGAUGACGUCAAAUCAUCAUGCCCUUUAUGACUUGGGCUACACACGUACUACAAUGGCGUUAAACAAAGAGAAGCAAGACCGCGAGGUGGAGCAAAACUCAGAAACAACGUCCCAGUUCGGACUGCAGGCUGCAACUCGCCUGCACGAAGUCGGAAUUACUAGUAAUCGUGGAUCAGCAUGCCACGGUGAAUACGUUCCCGGGCCUUGCACACACCGCCCGUCA
rnacentral:rRNA from 1 species